GAUGAAGGACGUAGUGAAAUGCGAUAAGUAAUGUGAAUUGCAGAAUUCAGUGAAUCAUCGAAUCUUUGAACGCACAUUGCGCCCGCCAGUAUUCUGGCGGGCAUGCCUGUUCGAGCGUCAUUUCAACCAUCAAGCCCCAGGCUUGUGUUGGAGCCCUGCGGCUGCCGCAGCCUCCCAAAACCAGUGGCGGGCUCGCUAUCACACCGAGUGCAGUAGUUUACUCUUCGCUCAGGGCGUGUGGCGGGUGCUAGCCGUAAAACCCCCAACUUCUCAAGGUUGACCUCGGAUCAGGUAGGAAUACCCGCUGAACUUAAGCAUAUCAAUAAGCGGAGGA
rnacentral:misc_RNA from 1 species